ACCGGGAGAACUGAAACAUCUAAGUACCCCGAGGAAAAGAAAUCAACCGAGAUUUCGUCAGUAGCGGCGAGCGAAAGCGAAAGAGCCAGUAAGUGAUAGCAGUAUAGUGAGGAGAAUGUGUUGGGAAACACAAUCAAAGAGGGUGAUAAUCCCGUAUCUAAAAACCAUAUUGUGGUACUAAGCUAACGAGAAGUAGGGCGGGACACGUGAUAUCCUGUUUGAAGAAGGGGGGACCAUCCUCCAAGGCUAAAUACUCCUGAUUGACCGAUAGUGAACCAGUACUGUGAAGGAAAGGCGAAAAGAACCCCGGUGAGGGGAGUGAAAUAGAACCUGAAACCUUGUACGUACAAGCAGUGGGAG
rnacentral:rRNA from 1 species